AUGCCCGCUUCAGCAGCACAUAUACUAAAAUUGGAACGAUACAGAGAAGAUCAGCAUGGCCCCUGCAGCAAGGAGGCACACAGACUCGUGAAGUGUUCCAUAUUUUU